rnacentral:rRNA from 1 species
CCUACGGGAGGCAGCAGUGGGGAAUAUUGCACAAUGGGGGGAACCCUGAUGCAGCGACGCCGCGUGAGUGAAGAAGUAUUUCGGUAUGUAAAGCUCUAUCAGCAGGGAAGAAAAUGACGGUACCUGACUAAGAAGCCCCGGCUAACUACGUGCCAGCAGCCGCGGUAAUACGUAGGGGGCAAGCGUUAUCCGGAUUUACUGGGUGUAAAGGGAGCGUAGACGGCAGCACAAGUCUGGAGUGAAAUGCCGGGGCUUAACCCCGGAACUGCUUUGGAAACUGUGCAGCUAGAGUGCAGGAGAGGUAAGUGGAAUUCCUAGUGUAGCGGUGAAAUGCGUAGAUAUUAGGAGGAACACCAGUGGCGAAGGCGGCUUACUGGACUGUAACUGACGUUGAGGCUCGAAAGCGUGGGGAGCAAACAGGAUUAGAUACCCUAGUAGUC